rnacentral:rRNA from 1 species
UACGUAGGGCGCAAGCGUUAUCCGGAAUUAUUGGGCGUAAAGAGCUCGUAGGCGGUUUGUCGCGUCUGCCGUGAAAGUCCGGGGCUCAACUCCGGAUCUGCGGUGGGUACGGGCAGACUAGAGUGAUGUAGGGGAGACUGGAAUUCCUGGUGUAGCGGUGAAAUGCGCAGAUAUCAAGAGGAACACCUGAGGUGAAGACGGGUUGCUGGGCCGACACUGACGCUGAUGCGCGAAAGCCAGGGGAGCAAACGGG